GCCCUUAUGGCGCAGUGGUAACGCGUUCCACUGUACGUUUAAUUACCCAUGGAAAGGAGAUAUUGAAACUAAUUGUUCGCAGUGUAUAUUAUCCGAGAUGGAAAGAUUCCUGAGUUCGACUCUCAGUGGGGGCA